rnacentral:lncRNA from 1 species
AAACAGGUUACCUGAGUAGGUUUUGGCAGCCUGUGUAUUUGUCACAUCGAAGGCUCGUUAUUUACUAAAGUAUCUGUAUGAACAUGAUCUAGUUUGCACUUGUGAGUGGUGUUGGUAGAGGGGACAUAUACGAAGAUUUAAUUGUUGGUAAUUAUAGUGAGAACAGAGGGGACUUGAAAUUGCUGAACUGUCUCAUGCCUGGAGGACUCUGGAAACAUUGUGUGGCAUGCAGAUACCGAGAUUGCACGUGUGGAUCUGAGGGUUACAGCUUUCUCCCGACUGUGAAGUCCCUAUUCUUCCUUGCAAUAAUCCUUUUGCAUAAGUGUCUUGUGUUACCAAAUAACAGUGGUCAUCAGAGAAAAUACAGAUAUUAGAAACAAACUAUGGUACAUACUCUUUGAAUAUGAUUGAUGAGCCGGGGAAGCCUCUUGCUAGCAGCUCUUGCUUCUGCUCACUACAUACAUAAGAUUUAUUUGUACAAAUAGGACAGAGGACACCAGCUCCAUGCAGAAGACAGCCCAGGCGUCACAUCAGUUCUUCUGUCCUCACACAGGCAGGCAGAGGACUCUACCUCAGAGACAGGGUUUUGAACUGGAGCUGGGAAGUGAGGCAAAAGACCAAGCCACAGCUUGGGUCCUGGUUUGAGCCUUUGGCCACAAGAGCCUGAGACCUUUGGUGAUGAGGGCACACUUCCUGAGCCUCAGUGGCUGAUCCAUGGAAUCUGUUCAAGAUAUCUUUGCUGAAAGAAAAACUGCAUGGAGCCUCUUUCCCUGCCAUGGAUCAUCAGGCACAUGGGUUCUUCCCUUAUUUGUCCAUUGCACUUCUGGGUAGAUUUGUCCUCCUAGGAGCUACUCAUCUACUCUCCAGCGUGACUUCUGGGUUCUGCAGGACAUGACAUUUAUCCCCUCCAGAAAAUGCAACAAGGUGCAUCUUGGAAGCAGAGUGCAGCACUCACCGGACAGGAAAUCUGCUGAUGCCUUCAUCUUGGACUUCCCAGUCUCCAGAACUAUAAAGAAUGCAUUUCUUUUCUUAUAAAUUACCCAGUCUAUGAUAUUCCAUUAUAGUAGCACAAACGGACUAGGACAACACAUAAAUAACUCAAGCCAAUUUCUCACUUACAUUUGUUAAAAUAGUAAUGUACAAAUCCCGGAAACAGUCAACAACAAAAUCCCAUUUCACAACUCCCUCAUCCCUAAUACACAAUUUCUAACCUAUUCUGAAAUUGAGAAGUCUUAUACUUUGCAAAUGGCAUGGCAACUUUAUGUCCAUUUAAAAUUGUCUAAAUAUUUAGUACAUUUCUAGAGUCUAGAGCACACAGCUCAGGGCCCUGGUAACAUGCAGGCAAUCAGACUAUAAAUUUAUUUCUCUUCUUGAACAUCCUGCCCUGUUCAUCUUCAGUAAUCAAAUGGGCUUCAAUUUGUUCUUUACUAUGCUUUCACCUCUUCAUGCUCACUUCCAAGUCAACUCUACUCCUUCUCUAUUUUGCCCAAUACACUUUCUAGUUACAUAAUCAGAUGACUCUAGAAAAGCUGCCCAAGGCUGACCAUUCUCUAUGUGAAUUUUCCAACUACAUUGAAAGACCAAACUCAGUAUCCCCAACAUUGUCCUAACUUAAAGGUAUACUUGUAGUGGCACCAUAUAAACCAGGCAAACUAUUUAAAAAUGUAUCUGGAAGUAUUUGGCAUUUCCUGGUUAUAAUUUAAAGGAUGUAAUUUUGGCAUAGGAUUUCUGAAUAAUUGUUAUUAGACAGAGUUAUUUGUAUUUUCCACUACCAUUUUUAGAAAGGGAAUUUCACUUUGGAUAGCGGGUUAGUGUGUGUGUGUGUAUGUGCCCAUGUGCAGGUGAGGAGGGAACAAACUACUUGAUUCUUCCAUAAGUUAUUAAGUGACCCUUUUUUGGGCCUGAUUGUCAAAUGAAAUUUUCUGCACAAUACUUGGAAAGCAUUUGCAGGUUUCUGCGUGAGGUGAAGAAAAAAGAACAUGAAAAUAUUGUGGAUUCAUGAGCUACAAGAAGAAUCAUGAAACUUUUGAAAAGUUAUCAGCCUCAUAGCUUGAGUGUGAAUGAAUUAGUUUUCACAGAAAUCAAUGAAUGGGCUGGAUUUUACAGCCAAGACAUAAUGGAGACAAAAAAGAGCAGGCAGUGAUUUACAGAAAUUUUGAAUCCUUCUUCUGGAGUGCUAUACAUUCAUAAGAUUAUGAUUUGGAUUAAGUUUAAUCUGAUACCUAAAUGUCCAAGCGCAUAGUUUACAUUUGAUUUAUACAGUAGUACAGUAAUGUUAACAAAACUGAAUUUUUGUAACAAAUUAUAUAUACUUGAGAUAGAGAAAAAACUGUUGACUCCUUUUAUCAUUAAGUUAAAAAAAUAAUAUGGCAGCAUAUCACUUGUAUGAACUUCUGAAUGAAGACAAUAUCUUGAUGUACAAAUUCUGUUUUUCAACCAAAGGAUCAUACUUAAGCAUAUUUAAAUAUGAUGCUCAGUAAAAAGAUCUUACAACAUUAUAAUUUGUAAUGUUUGAAAUGGACAUGAAAGUAGAAUGCAACAUUUGUAUCUACAUGAGUAACUAUCAUUUAUCUAUCUAAAAUUUAUUAAACAUUUGCGAAUGAGAGCAUGACAUUGGAGUCACACUGCUUUGGGUUUGAAAUCUGGAUCCCAUAUGUGUCAGGUAAAAACCUUGAAAAAGUUACUUAACCUGUCUGUUUAUCAGUUUCUUUAUAAGACACAGAUCAUAAUAAUAUGUACAUCAGAGGAUCAUGGUGAUUAUAAAAUAAAUUAACAUAAAUGAGUUAAUAAGGCCUAGGAUUUUAGAAGUGUAGUAUAAACAAAGUACCUAGUAUGCUACUUACAGUGAUUAUCAUUAUCUCUUAUAACUUUAAGUUAAAUUGGCCUUCUUGGUAAAUUUCAAACACAAUUAUAUCUGGGUCCACAUCAGGAAAUUUGAACAUACAGUUCAUCUGUUUGGAGCUCACUUCCCUCAUUUGUUUUCAUAGCUUCCUACCUCAGUGCAUUCAGGUUUCUUUUUCAAAACAUAUAAACAGAGAUGCCUUGUUAAACUACCCAAUCUAAAAUUGUCUUUUUUUAUUUAUUAUUUUUCUUCAUCUAUGUCACCAUUUGCUAUUGUUACUAAAUUUAUUUCUAGUUUACCGCCCACUAACAUAGAAGUUCCAUGAAAAGAGAGACGUGCCUAGUUGCCCCCAUUAUCUCAGUGUAAACAUUUUUUUUCCCUGAAACUGAAACAAUAAUCUUCCUUUUGUGGAGAUGCUGUUAAAGGGUACAUAGGGUAAUUCAUACUAAUAGGUUCUCUCAUUCUUGCAAACUGUUGUGGAAUAAUCAAUUUAAGGGCAACAACUGAGCUCUUCAUAAAUUGAGGAAAAUUGCCAUGCAUGAAGGUGUUUUUCCUAACCCCCACCUCUGAUUCUACAUAUUCUUUAAACAUAUCUCUCAAAAAUUUGGAGUUAACAUUGUAAAUAAUAUUUAUGUAUUUCUUUGGGUUUUGAAAUUUACUUAUGGAUCAUGUAGACCACUUAAAAAUAUUUUUAAAAAUCUUUAAAGCUAAAGUUGAACAUUUGUGACAACUAGGAAUAUUUGGAUACUUUGUGUUUCUCUCCCUCUUUUUAUGUCUCUCUAUCUCUCUCUGAUAAAAGUAUGUUUGUGGAUAAUUUAUUUUAAAACUAGACUUUUGGUUAUGCCAGAUUAAUAGUUCCAGAGAUCUCUUAUAAAGCACAUUUCUUGUAGUUAACAAUAUGGUGUUGUGCACUUCAAAAUUUGUUAAAUAAUAGAUUUCAUGUUAAGUAUUCUAAAAACACACACACAUACACACUCGGACACAAGGCAACUUUGGUUGAUAUUGAACACAUCCAUUACCUUGAUUGUGGUGAUGAUGGUAUUACGGGUGUUUGCAUAUGUCCAAACUCAUUAAAUUGUACACAUUGAACAUGUGAAGUUCUUUGCAUAUCAACUAUAUCUCAAUAAAGCUGUUAAAAUUAAAGCAAA